UACGUAGGUGGCAAGCGUUGUCCGGAAUUACUGGGCGUAAAGGGCUCGUAGGCGGCCAACUAAGUCAGACGUGAAAUCCCUCGGCUUAACCGGGGAACUGCGUCUGAUACUGGAUGGCUUGAGUGUGGGAGAGGGAUGCGGAAUUCCAGGUGUAGCGGUGAAAUGCGUAGAUAUCUGGAGGAACACCGGUGGCGAAGGCGGCAUCCUGGACCAUUACUGACGCUGAGUGAGCGAAAGCCAGGGGAGCAAACGGG
rnacentral:rRNA from 1 species